rnacentral:rRNA from 1 species
UGGGGAAUAUUGGACAAUGGGCGCAAGCCUGAUCCAGCCAUACCGUGUGGGUGAAGAAGACCUUCGGGUUGUAAAGCCCUUUGUUGGGAAGAAUGCCAGCCAGGCUAAUACCUGGUUGGGAUGACGGUACCAAGAAUAAGCACCGGCUAACUUCGUGCCAGCAGCCGCGGUAAUACGAAGGGUGCAAGCGUUACUCGGAAUUACUGGGCGUAAAGCGUGCGUAGGUGGUCGUUUAAGUCCGUUGUGAAAGCCCUGGGCUCAACCUGGGAACUGCAGUGGAUACUGGGCGACUAGAGUGUGGUAGAGGGUAGCGGAAUUCCUGGUGUAGCAGUGAAAUGCGUAGAGAUCAGGAGGAACAUCCAUGGCGAAGGCAGCUACCUGGACCAACACUGACACUGAGGCACGAAAGCGU